UGUGAACUUUAGGUUUCAAAAAGCACCAACAUUUAGGGGAAAAAGAAUUUAUCACACGGUAUAUGCACUAAGUUUUGUGUGUUUGAAAUAUUGUUGAUGUGCGGAUUGUGCAACUCAGAGAUCAGCGUGCUGCAAGCGGCGGCAGGAUCACCGGAAGAGGAAAGAGCGCCCUUAAAAAUAAAAAAUAGUGCAUAAAUUUAUAUAAUACAAUGUACAAAUAAUCAUUUUGAUUUACAAGCCAAAAAUCGUUCCCGGGCAAAGCGUUACCAGCCCAGGCAUAUGACUCCACUAUCAUCAUAUUUUCAAAUUCAGGUAUACUUGUUUCUCAGCGGCAGUUCCUCGCGCAUCUGCCUCCAGCAGCAGUGUAUCGAAAGUGAUGGCGUAGCGUUUCUUCAUCA